UCUAGAGGCUUCGACAAUGCCCGAAAGGGUGAUCGAGCGACGCCGCGUGUGGGAUGAAGGUUUUCGGAUUGUAAACCACUUUUGUUUGGGAAGAAGGCUUGUAUCGUGAAUAUGAGAUUGACGGUACCAAAAGAAUAAGCCCCGGCUAACUCCGUGCCAGCAGCCGCGGUAAGACGGAGGGGGCAAGCGUUGUUCGGAAUCAUUGGGCGUAAAGGGCUCGUAGGCGGACUAGUAAGUCUGGCGUGAAAUCUCCACCGCUCACCGGGGAGAGGUCGCUGGAUACUGCUAGUCUUGAGUUCGGUAGAGGGUCGUGGAAUUUCGGGUGUAGCGGUGGAAUGCGUAGAUAUCCGAAAGAACACCGGUGGCGAAGGCGGCGACCUGGGCCUGAACUGACGCUGAGGAGCGAAAGCUAGGGGAGCAAA
rnacentral:rRNA from 1 species